UGGGGAAUAUUGCACAAUGGGCGCAAGCCUGAUGCAGCCAUGCCGCGUGUAUGAAGAAGGCCUUCGGGUUGUAAAGUACUUUCAGCGGGGAGGAAGGGAGUAAAGUUAAUACCUUUGCUCAUUGACGUUACCCGCAGAAGAAGCACCGGCUAACUCCGUGCCAGCAGCCGCGGUAAUACGGAGGGUGCAAGCGUUAAUCGGAAUUACUGGGCGUAAGGCGCACGCAGGCGGUUGAUUGAGUCAGAUGUGAAAUCCCCGGGCUUAACCCGGGAAUUGCAUCUGAUACUGGUCAGCUAGAGUCUUGUAGAGGGGGGUAGAAUUCCAUGUGUAGCGGUGAAAUGCGUAGAGAUGUGGAGGAAUACCGGUGGCGAAGGCGGCCCCCUGGACAAAGACUGACGCUCAGGUGCGAAAGCGUGGGGAGCAAACAGG
rnacentral:rRNA from 1 species